rnacentral:rRNA from 1 species
UAACGAAUCUUCCGCAAUGCACGAAAGUGUGACGGAGCGACGCCGCGUGGAGGACGAAGUUCUUCGGAAUGUAAACUCCUGUCAGGGGAAAGAAAGUUCUGAUCUACCCCAGAGGAAGAGGCGGCUAACUCUGUGCCAGCAGCCGCGGUAAUACAGAGGCCUCGAGCGUUAGACGGAAUCACUGGGCUUAAAGCGUGUAUAGGCGGAAGGGUAAGUACCUUGUGAAAUCCCACGGCUUAACCGUGGAACGGCUUGGUAUACUGCUUUUCUUGAGCAAUCUAGGGGCGAGUGGAACAGAUGGUGGAGCGGUGAAAUGCGUAGAUAUCUGGAGGAAUACCGGUGGCGAAGGCGGCAUCCUGGACCAUUACUGACGCUGAGGCGCGAAAGCUAGGGGAGCAAACGGGAUUAGAUACCCACGUAGUCCCUGAGCGGGCUGGCAAGGCGCAU